GACGAAGGGGGCAAGCGUUGUUCGGAAUUACUGGGCGUAAAGGGCGCGUAGGCGGCUCUGUAAGUCAGGCGUGAAAGCCCUGGGCUCAACCUGGGAGUGGCGCUUGAUACUGUGGGGCUAGAGAGCGGGAGAGGAUGGUGGAAUUCCCAGUGUAGAGGUGAAAUUCGUAGAUAUUGGGAAGAACACCGGUGGCGAAGGCGGCCAUCUGGACCGUAUCUGACGCUGAGGCGCGAAAGCGUGGAGAGCAAACAGG
rnacentral:rRNA from 1 species